rnacentral:rRNA from 1 species
AACGCUAGCUACAGGCUUAACACAUGCAAGUCGAGGGGAAACGACAUCGAAAGCUUGCUUUUGAUGGGCGUCGACCGGCGCACGGGUGAGUAACGCGUAUCCAACCUGCCCACCACUUGGGGAUAACCUUGCGAAAGUAAGACUAAUACCCAAUGACGUCUCUAGAAGACAUCUGAAAGAGAUUAAAGAUUUAUCGGUGAUGGAUGGGGAUGCGUCUGAUUAGCUUGUUGGCGGGGUAACGGCCCACCAAGGCGACGAUCAGUAGGGGUUCUGAGAGGAAGGUCCCCCACAUUGGAACUGAGACACGGUCCAAACUCCUACGGGAGGCAGCAGUGAGGAAUAUUGGUCAAUGGGCGAGAGCCUGAACCAGCCAAGUAGCGUGCAGGAUGACGGCCCUAUGGGUUGUAAACUGCUUUUAUAAGGGAAUAAAGUGAGCCUCGUGAGGCUUUUUGCAUGUACCUUAUGAAUAAGGACCGGCUAAUUCCGUGCCAGCAGCCGCGGUAAUACGGAAGGUCCGGGCGUUAUCCGGAUUUAUUGGGUUUAAAGGGAGCGUAGGCCGGAGGUUAAGCGUGUUGUGAAAUGUAGAUGCUCAACAUCUGCACUGCAGCGCGAACUGGUUUCCUUGAGUACGCACAAAGUGGGCGGAAUUCGUGGUGUAGCGGUGAAAUGCUUAGAUAUCACGAAGAACUCCGAUUG